rnacentral:rRNA from 1 species
AGUGAACGCUGGCGGUAGGCCUAACACAUGCAAGUCGAACGGCAGCACAGGAGAGCUUGCUCUCUGGGUGGCGAGUGGCGGACGGGUGAGGAAUACAUCGGAAUCUGCCCAGUCGUGGGGGAUAACGUAGGGAAACUUACGCUAAUACCGCAUACGACCUUCGGGUGAAAGAGGGGGAUGGCAAGACCUCUCGCGAUUGGAUGAGCCGAUGUCGGAUUAGCUAGUUGGCGGGGUAAUGGCCCACCAAGGCGACGAUCCGUAGCUGGUCUGAGAGGAUGAUCAGCCACACUGGAACUGAGACACGGUCCAGACUCCUACGGGAGGCAGCAGUGGGGAAUAUUGGACAAUGGGCGCAAGCCUGAUCCAGCCAUACCGCGUGGGUGAAGAAGGCCUUCGGGUUGUAAAGCCCUUUUGUUGGGAAAGAAAUCUUUCAGGCUAAUACCCUGGGAGGAUGACGGUACCCAAAGAAUAAGCACCGGCUAACUUCGUG